rnacentral:rRNA from 1 species
GAUAAACGCUAGCGGCAGGCUUAACACAUGCAAGUCGAGGGGCAGCAUAGAUUGUAGCAAUACAAUUGGUGGCGACCGGCGCACGGGUGCGUAACGCGUAUGCAACCUACCCGUCACAGGGGGAUAAUCCGGAGAAAUCUGGUCUAAUACCCCAUAACAUAUGGAUCGGCAUCGGUUCAUGUUGAAAUUUUCGGAGGUGACGGAUGGGCAUGCGUAGCAUUAGCUUGUUGGUGAGGUAACGGCUCACCAAGGCGACGAUGCUUAGGGGGACUGAGAGGUUUUCCCCCCACACUGGGACGUAGACACGGACCAGACUCCUACGGGAGGCAGCAGUGAGGAAUAUUGGUCAAUGGGCGCAAGCCUGAACCAGCCAUGCCGCGUGCAGGAUGACGGCUCUAUGAGUUGUAAACUGCUUUUGUACGAGGGUAAAGUGGGUUACGUGUAACCUUUUGGAAGUAUCGUACGAAUAAGGAUCGACUAACUCCGUGCCAGCCGCCGCAGUAA